rnacentral:tRNA from 1 species
GUUCUUAUAGUUUAGAGGUAAAACAUGGCACUGUUAAUGCUUAGUCAUUGGUUCAAUUCCAAUUAAGAACG